rnacentral:rRNA from 1 species
UACGAAGGGGGCAAGCGUUGUUCGGAAUUACUGGCGUAAAGGGCGCGUAGGCGGCUUAUCAAGUCAGGCGUGAAAUUCCCGGGCUCAACCUGGGGGCUGCGCUUGAUACUGGUUGGCUUGAAUCCGGGAGAGGGAUGUGGAAUUCCAGGUGUAGCGGUGAAAUGCGUAGAUAUCUGGAGGAACACCGGUGGCGAAGGCGACAUCCUGGACCGGUAUUGACGCUGAGGCGCGAAAGCCAGGGGAGCAAACGGG